UGUGGGGUGGCUGGUCUGGGCUGCCACAGAGUUGGGGUAUGUGCUUCUGGCAAGAAAUCUAGCAGGAUACCUUGGGGACUUGCUGGACUUGAGGGGUUAAGACAGUCAUACUUUUAUGUAUUUUUACAUCACAAACCACUGCUUUAGUUUUGUUGAAAAUCAUGGAAAUUUUGUUUGACUUUAGGAGUGGAAGCUGGACACUCUUUGUGACUUGUAUGAGACUUUGACUAUCACACAAGCAGUUAUUUUUCUCAAUACAAGGCGCAAGGUGGACUGGCUCACGGAGAAAAUGCAUGCCAGGGACUUCACAGUUUCUGCUCUGCAUGGUGACAUGGACCAGAAGGAAAGAGAUGUCAUCAUGAGGGAAUUCCGAUCAGGGUCAAGCCGUGUUCUGAUCACUACUGACUUGUUGGCUCGUGGGAUUGAUGUGCAACAAGUGUCCUUGGUUAUAAACUAUGAUCUACCUACCAAUCGUGAAAACUAUAUUCACAGGUGAGAAGAAAGCAUCUCCAAUAUUUGUAUUGGAGAAGUAAUAUUUGUAUUGGAGAAGUAAAUUCAAACAUGUCUACGGUGUUUUGUAUACAAGGUACUGACUGGCAAAUCAGGGAAUAGAUUGCAGUAAAAAGGCAUAGUAAUUUACUAAGGUCUAAAAUUGUGUUUGGGAAGAUUGGUCAGAACAAAGUGGGAAACUGUGUAAUGUGGCCAAGGUUGUGUAUUCACAUGCAGACUAGGUUGAUUUAGAUU
rnacentral:lncRNA from 1 species